UGGGGAAUAUUGCACAAUGGGGGAAACCCUGAUGCAGCGACGCCGCGUGAGCGAAGAAGUAUUUCGGUAUGUAAAGCUCUAUCAGCAGGGAAGAAAGUGACGGUACCUGACUAAGAAGCACCGGCUAAAUACGUGCCAGCAGCCGCGGUAAUACGUAUGGUGCAAGCGUUAUCCGGAUUUACUGGGUGUAAAGGGAGCGUAGACGGAUAGGCAAGUCUGGAGUGAAAACCCGGGGCUCAACCCCGGGACUGCUUUGGAAACUGUUUAUCUAGAGUGCUGGAGAGGUAAGUGGAAUUCCUAGUGUAGCGGUGAAAUGCGUAGAUAUUAGGAGGAACACCAGUGGCGAAGGCGGCUUACUGGACAGUAACUGACGUUGAGGCUCGAAAGCGUGGGGAGCAAACA
rnacentral:rRNA from 1 species